CGAAAGUUAGCCCAAUCGGAAGAGGCAAUCGACUGAACAUCGAUCGGAUGCAGGUUCAACUCCUGCACUUUCUA
rnacentral:tRNA from 1 species